rnacentral:rRNA from 1 species
UACGUAGGGGGCUAGCGUUGCUCGGAAUCACUGGGCGUAAAGGGCGCGUAGGCGGCCAAGUAAGUUGGGGGUGAAAGCCCGUGGCUCAACCACGGAAUUGCCUUCGAUACUGCUUGGCUUGAGACCGGAAGAGGUGAGUGGAACUGCGAGUGUAGAGGUGAAAUUCGUAGAUAUUCGCAAGAACACCAGUGGCGAAGGCGGCUCACUGGUCCGGAUCUGACGCUGAGGCGCGAAAGCGUGGGGAGCAAACAGG